AGAGUUUGAUCCUGGCUCAGGAUGAACGCUGGCGGCGUGCUUAACACAUGCAAGUCGAACGGAAAGGCCCAAGCUUGCUUGGGUACUCGAGUGGCGAACGGGUGAGUAACACGUGGGUGAUCUGCCCUGCACUUCGGGAUAAGCCUGGGAAACUGGGUCUAAUACCGGAUAGGACGAUGGUUUGGAUGCCAUUGUGGAAAGUUUUUUCGGUGUGGGAUGAGCUCGCGGCCUAUCAGCUUGUUGGUGGGGUAAUGGCCUACCAAGGCGUCGACGGGUAGCCGGCCUGAGAGGGUGUACGGCCACAUUGGGACUGAGAUACGGCCCAGACUCCUACGGGAGGCAGCAGUGGGGAAUAUUGCACAAUGGGCGCAAGCCUGAUGCAGCGACGCCGCGUGGGGGAUGACGGCCUUCGGGUUGUAAACUCCUUUCGCUAGGGACGAAGCGUUUUUGUGACGGUACCUGGAGAAGAAGCACCGGCUAACUACGUG
rnacentral:rRNA from 1 species